GAAAAAGAUCAAAUUUUAGAAGAAAUUUUAAGAGCAAAAUUUACACAAAUUAAAAUAGCAAAAGAAGUUUUAAUAAAAACAAAGAAUAUUCAAUUAUGGCAUGGUGCAAGAGGAAUAACUAAAACAAGACAAUUU
rnacentral:ribozyme from 1 species